UACGUAGGGGGCAAGCGUUGUCCGGAAUCAUUGGGCGUAAAGCGCGUGUAGGCGGCUUGGUAAGUCUGCUCUGAAAGCCCGGGGCUCAACCCCGGGAGGCGGGUGGAUACUGUCAAGCUCGAGUCCGGAAGAGGAGUGUGGAAUUCCUGGUGUAGCGGUGGAAUGCGCAGAGAUCCGAGGAAGACCGGUGCGAAGGCGGUCUGCUGGGCGAGUUCUGACACUGAGGCGCGCAAGCGUGGGGGAGCAAACAGGAUUAGACUAC
rnacentral:rRNA from 1 species